GAAAUGCGAUAAGUAGUGUGAAUUGCAGAAUUCAGUGAAUCAUCGAAUCUUUGAACGCACAUUGCGCCCCUCGGUAUUCCGUGGGGCAUGCCUGUUCGAGCGUCAUCUACACCCUCAAGCUCUGCUUGGUGUUGGUCGUCUGUCCCGCCUCCUUCGCGCGCGGACUCGCCCCAAAUCCAUUGGCGGCGGCCCUUGCCUCCCUCUCGCGCAGCACAUUGCGCUUCUCGAGGCGCGGCGGACCGCGUCCAGCAAGCAACCGUCACACCGUCUUUGACCUCGGAUCAGGUAGGGAUACCCGCUGAACUUAAGC
rnacentral:misc_RNA from 1 species